UACAGAGGAGCCAAGCGUUGUCCGGAUUGACUGGGCGUAAAGCGCACGCAGGCGGUUUGGCGCGUGGGGUGUGAAAUCUGGCCGCUUAACGGCCAGGCGCCAUCCCAUACGGCUAAACUGGAGUGAUGCAGAGGUCGGUGGAAUUGCCGGUGUAGUGGUGAAAUGCGUAGAGAUCGGCAGGAACACCCAGGGGGGAAACCAGCCGACUGGGCAUCGACUGACGCUGAGGUGCGAGAGCGUGGGGAGCGAACCGG
rnacentral:rRNA from 1 species